AGGAAGGCGGGCGGCAUGGCCGAGAGCGAGUGCGAGACGCCCAGCACCCCGGGCGAGUUCGAGAGCAAGUACUUCGAGUACAACGGGGUGCGCCUGCCGCCCUUCUGCAGGGGGAAGAUGGAGGAGAUCGCCAAUUUCCCCGUGAGAGCGACCGAUGUCUGGAUUAUCACCUACCCCAAAUCAGGUACUAGUUUAUUGCAAGAAGUGGUAUAUCUGGUGAGCCAAGGAGCUGAUCCUGAUGAAAUUGGGUUAAUGAACAUAGAUGAACAACUUCCGGUCCUAGAGUAUCCUCAACCUGGCUUGGAUAUCGUCAAGGAGCUGACAUCACCCCGUCUUAUCAAAAGUCAUCUACCAUAUCGUUUUUUGCCUUCAGAUCUACACAAUGGCAAUUCCAAGGUAAUAUAUAUGGCUCGCAACCCCAAAGACCUGGUUGUAUCUUAUUACCAGUUUCACCGCUCCCUUCGAACUAUGAGCUACAGAGGAACAUUUCAAGAAUUCUGUCGGAGAUUUAUGAAUGAUAAGUUAGGAUAUGGUUCAUGGUUUGAACAUGUGCAGGAAUUUUGGGAACAUCAUAUGGACUCCAAUGUUCUUUUUCUCAAGUAUGAAGAUAUGCACAAGGACCUUACAACUAUCGUUGAGCAACUAGCGAGGUUCUUGGGUGUCUCUUAUGAUAAAGCGCAGUUGGAAUCCAUGGUGGAGCAUUGUCACCAGCUCAUUGACCAGUGCUGUAAUGCAGAAGCUCUCCCGGUUGGCAGGGCUCACUGAUCUUUACUCAGAAGAGACCUCUCUGCUUAAGUUCCUUACAUUUGUUCUGUGCUCAUCACAAACCACAGUGUCAUGAAUCAGUUCAUUAAUCCAGGACGAGUUGGGCUCUGGAAAGACAUCUUCACUGUUUCCAUGAAUGAGAAAUUUGAUUUAGUGUACAAACAAAAGAUGGGAAAGUGUGACCUCACAUUUGACUUUUAUUUAUAAAAAAAAUGCAUGUCUAUAAUACAAAGAUUCUACGUA